GACAGUUGCACCAGAGUGCCAAGCUUUCAAAACUCCUUUGACACAUAAGGCUAUGAAUAUCUAGAGGGAAACAGCCAGCAGGCAAACAUAUAUAUUAAACUGGAUUAUUUCAUAGAAGUAGAGUAACUGGGAGAACCUGGUUUUGGGGGGGGGGAGCUAAAAACCCUCAGCUAGAGAGAACAGUGCUAUAUGGAAGAAUUUUUUUAUAAUGCAAAUGGGGUGAAAGGAGAGACAUCUGUCUUUGGAAAAAGGCAGAUGUGAGAUGGCAAAUGAAAACCCAAAAUAUUAUUGCACUUUGCAUAUUGUUUAGGGGACAUAAGUGCUAAGCCUGAGUAGCGGGCACUCAAGAAAUAUACUGAACUGGCUUGCAAAAACUCAAGGUUGUCUCGGGACCAGAGGCUAGGCUCCUGUCUUUACAAACGUGGCCGGCUCCUGGAUUUGAAGCUUGUGAAACCUCCAGAUUCUGGGGUUACAGCACACACAGCUGCCAUGCCUGCUUAUGCAUGUUACAGCUCUCCAUCACUGAAGCUAUGUAUCUCCAGCCCCUCAUCCUGAGGUCUAAUGACAAAGCCUACUGCACUCCUCAUCCUGCCCCAGGGAGGGCUGUUGACCCCACCCCAAGGAAGGUCACUUACUGUAGACCCCAUUGGUCCCUUUCCCAUCCAUCUCUCUAAGAGCUCCUUUUCAGACUCCUCUUUUGGCUCUUUCUUUAACCACUGGCUGCAUCCUUUUCUUCAGGGUUCUGACUCAUUUGUGCGACAUCUCCAGGCUAUCUCACAGGCUAUGUGACACACCUGAUCUCUUACAUUCCUGCAGUUCUCUGCCCUUGUUUUCAGAUUUCUUCCUUCACCGCUGCCGGCAUCAUGCAGUCCCUCCAAGUUCCAUGUGCUACUAGUGGUACUUGGCACUUGCUCCCCUUCCCAAGUUUAGCUUUUUUAAAAAAAAUGUAUUUAUUUUUAUUUUAUAUGCAUUGGUGUCUUGCUUGCAUGUAUGUCUGUGUGAGGGUGCCAGAUCUUGGAGUUACAGACAGUGUGAGCUGCCUUGUGGGUGCUGGGAAUUGAGCCAGGGUCCUCUGGAAGGGCAGUCGGUGCUCUUAACCCCUGAGCCAUCAUCUCUCCAGCCCCAGGUUGAGCUUUGUUAAUGUUGUUGACGGCCAGCACGGGCUCCCUUACAGUCAAACCUCUGUCUGAUCAGUGUAUGUGCCCUGGGUGCUGCUUCUGGAUCUCCUUUGGCUCUGUGGCCCCAUGGCCCCCCUCUGCUGCUGUGGCCAUUCAGACUCUAGUUCCUUCCAUCCUGGCCUCUAGUUGGCUUUCCUGGUUCCCCCUUCUCCUAACUCUGGCUCUCCCUUCACUUCCUCACAGGGUUUUCAAUAUGGACAAUCACUGUUCUGUAUUCAGGAACUCUUGAUACUUUCUUACUGUCCUCAGUGUAAAUGAAAGUUUCUUAGCUAUGAAUCAAAUUUCUUCCCAGCAUAGGCACAGACUACCCCACCUCUGCUCACUCACCCACAUCAGCCUUCCUCCUCCUGCAUAGACACUGUUCUUGUUCAUAUUCCUUUGUGCUUUUCCUUGUCUUGUUCCCUUGACC
rnacentral:lncRNA from 1 species